GUGGGGAAUAUUGGACAAUGGGCGAAAGCCUGAUCCAGCCAUGCCGCGUGUGUGAAGAAGGUCUUCGGAUUGUAAAGCACUUUAAGUUGGGAGGAAGGGCAGUAAGUUAAUACCUUGCUGUUUGACGUUACCGACAGAAUAAGCACCGGCUAACUUCGUGCCAGCAGCCGCGGUAAUACGAAGGGUGCAAGCGUUAAUCGGAAUUACUGGGCGUAAAGCGCGCGUAGGUGGUUUUGUAAGUUGGAGGUGAAAUCCCCGGGCUCAACCUGGGAACUGCUUUCAAAACUGCUGAGCUAGAGUACGGUAGAGGGUGGUGGAAUUUCCUGUGUAGCGGUGAAAUGCGUAGAUAUAGGAAGGAACACCAGUGGCGAAGGCGACCACCUGGACUGAUACUGACACUGAGGUGCGAAAGCGUGGGGAGCAAACAGGAUUAGAAACCCCUGUAGUCC
rnacentral:rRNA from 1 species